CACAUGCAAGUCGAGCGGAAACGAGUUAUCUGAACCUUCGGGGAACGAUAACGGCGUCGAGCGGCGGACGGGUGAGUAAUGCCUAGGAAAUUGCCCUGAUGUGGGGGAUAACCAUUGGAAACGAUGGCUAAUACCGCAUGAUGCCUACGGGCCAAAGAGGGGGACCUUCGGGCCUCUCGCGUCAGGAUAUGCCUAGGUGGGAUUAGCUAGUUGGUGAGGUAAGGGCUCACCAAGGCAACGAUCCCUAGCUGGUCUGAGAGGAUGAUCAGCCACACUGGAACUGAGACACGGUCCAGACUCCUACGGGAGGCAGCAGUGGGGAAUAUUGCACAAUGGGCGCAAGCCUGAUGCAGCCAUGCCGCGUGUAUGAAGAAGGCCUUCGGGUUGUAAAGUACUUUCAGUCGUGAGGAAGGCGGCGUCGUUAAUAGCGGCGUUGUUUGACGUUAGCGACAGAAGAAGCACCGGCUAACUCCGUGCCAGCAGCCGCGGUAAUACGGAGGGUGCGAGCGUUAAUCGGAAUUACUGGGCGUAAAGCGCAUGCAGGUGGUUUGUUAAGUC
rnacentral:rRNA from 1 species